AAAUUUUAAAUACAAGCUUCAAAUAAUUUAUUAUUAAAAAUUAAAAUUAAAAUUUAGUUCUACCAUUUCCUCUAGAUUUUUCCCUCUAGUUCCUUUUCUAUAAGAAGAUGAAAACCUUAAUGUUGUGCCUCAUUCACACCAUCUCUACCGCUCGUGGGGCUCCAUAUCUUGUUUGACGCGUCCCUUUGUAAUCACUCUCCUUCUUGAAGUUGUUCAUGGAGGAGAUAUGGACUGGUGUUCUCCUAUCAUAGAAGAUCUCACUAGUAAAAAAUAUGGAUAUUAACUCGCAUAUUUGGCAUCGAUUUCGUUGCAACCGAAGCAUAAAAUACCUUGGUGGAAUUUUUGCAAUUAUCACAAACAUAUAUGCCUCGGUUCAAAAAGAACCAAAGCCUAAAGGGGCCUAUGGCUUAUGUUCUAUAUAAAUAACCAAGGUUAAAUCCCACUGCAAAUUUGACUUUUCAGUUAACUCAUUUUUUAACUAGGUCAACAACCUCGGUUGUUUAGAGAACCAAGACCAUAGAGUCCCUAUACUUCAGUUAUGCCGCGAACUGAAGUGCAUGUUAGUGUUUAUAGAGAUAAAUCUACAAAAACAUUUUCAAAAGGAAACUACAUCAUUUAUGUAUUUUAACCAAGCUUUAAGUCAAAGAUGAUAUUUAUUACAACAUGUUGACUAAAAUAGCAAAUAGACAAUGUUCAACCUACAAUAAAAAUCACUAACAGAUGGAGAUGGCAAUCGCGAUAGUGGCAGUAGUGGCAACUGUAGCAUGUGAGAUGAUGGCAAUGGGGGGUAGUGCGAGAUGCGACGAUGGCAGCAACAACGCGAGAUGCGACCGCGGUAGCUCUAGAUCGAGAGGUGACAGAGCCGGAUUGAGAGGUGACGGUGCAAGAUUGAGAGGUGACGGACGACUCUCGAUCGAGAGUUAACGGCUCCAAAUCAAGAGGCAAUGCAGAGGCAGCCUAUAAGAGGCAAGGCGGCGACCUAUUGGAGACAAGAUGACAGCCUACGAGAAGUGAUUUGAGAGAGAUGAUACGACAAAAGAAGAAAUCUCUAGAGAUAAAAGAAAAUGAAAAGAGAAGAAAAAAAUAAAAGAGAAGGGUUCUCUUUUGAAUAAAAAAGAAUAGAAGAAGAAAGAUAAUCACGAAAAAGUUUUCAUUUUAGCUAAACCUAAAUUUAAGUCUGAUAGCAAAUU
rnacentral:lncRNA from 1 species